UGAAUUAGAGUCCCCACCUCCAAGCUGACCACUGAUGAUAGACCCAUUUGCUGUGAUAACAUCACCCUCCAGUCUCACUGCACCUUGUGCUGCCUGCAACAGAGUUCAUAAGAACCAGCUGCAGAGACACUGGUGGUUCCUAAUAUGGUGACAGAACUGUGAUGGCACCCCAUCUUCUUGCAGGAUAGUUUGAAGUGGUAACUGGGGCAGGGCAUACAGCUCCAGCAUGUCAAGUACAACCGUCCAUGCGGAGAAACAGAGGUUCGUGUCUUUCCAGGGGAUUUUGCAUGCAACAGACUGCCUGUAGUCCUCAGCAUUUGAAGAAACUUUCUCUACAAAAAUAAGAGACUACCCAGGAUGCUCAGCGACUGUGCACUUAAAUUCUGGACUAUGUUCAUAAGUGGUUGAAUAUUUGAGAAAAUUCGUUUUAUAAACUCUGUGCCCCACUAAAUCUCGAUAUGGAUGUAAUAUUUAGGUUGCUGAAUUUGUUGAAUGUGAAUGUGGAUGGCGACCCAUUAUUUUCGGAGGUUUGUGACUCGAAUGAAGUACCAUCCUGUGUUAAUGGAUAACUUCAACCAAGUGUUCACUGACCAACAACAACAACAAUAACAACAACAACA